GAUUGCUGCCUGGUGAAUUUGCUGACGAUUUUGACAACUGGAAAUCAGCUGUUCAAAACUAUUGGUCACUCCUUUGACCUCUAAGAUUUUCUGAUCAUCCAAAGAGGGUUGGUGAUAAGGACUUCGUCACCUUACAACAUACAACAUGUUCAGAAAUACUCUAGACAUGAAUGCUAAUUUCGGUGGCUUUAACUGUGCACUAUUACACUGCAACAACAUUUAAGUAUGCAUUUGAUUACAAACCAUCUGAUGUCUACUGGUGCACAACGGAUUGUGGUUGGAUUACUGGGCACAGCUAUGUCACUUAUGGACCCAUACUCAAUGGUGCAACUGUUGUUCUGUAUGAAGGGGCUCCCAAUUAUCCUGAUGCUGGGCGUAGUUGGAACAUUAUUGAUAAAUUUAAAGUAUCAAUAUUCUACACUGCCCCUACAUUGGUGCGGUCCCUCAUGCAAUAUGGUGAUGAGGUAAGAUACAUCUAUGCUUACUCGAUACCUUCCUGAAAAAUUAUUUGUAAUGGUGAAAAAAUGCUCUUACACAUGGAAAAGAAUUGAAAGUAAAACAUUGCAGAAGAAUGUAUACAAUAUCAAACAGGACUGGAAGCAUCAUUAGUAUAAUUAGUGGUUCCUUAAGCCUUUCUUGCCCCUUUUGUUCCACCCCACAUGUAUGAUGCAAGCAGCAGGGUUCUCCCUUUUCCCAUUUGUGUUGCUUUACGCAUAUGGAACCUUGAAGAUAUUCAGUAGUUUGGGUCAAUAAUCUCUCUUAUUACUACUUCCAUUUAUGGGAUCAGGCCGUUUCGCAGGUCCUUUGGGACUGGUGUGAAGAGCUUCACAUACGGCAGGUUAUGUUAUUUAGACACCGGUUAGCUUGAUGUAUAUGGCUGCUGAGAUAAUGUGACGGUCAUUGAAUCCGAAUGGAAUCGUCCCUGUUUCGAAUAAUGUCUGAACUGAGUGAGUUUGAUGUUUGUGUGGACCAUGAUCGAUACGAUGCAAGCUGCAGUUCUGAUUUGGUUUUCUAUGUUCUACUACAGAUUUUGGCACUGUGAUGCAGGGUGGUACUGACACGGAUUGGUUUACGAUAAAGGACAAUAACAUAGAGUAGCAAAUUCUGAUAAAACUUUCUCUAAGCAUUUAUGAUUAUGAGGUACUAUCCUUUUAUGCAUUACUUUAUUCAUGUGAAUUGUGUGAAGAAACUAAUGCAGGCAAUGAAGGCUAGACAGAGGUUAUUUGAUGUUCAAUUUUCAGCAGAGAAUAGAAUGGUAUGAUAUGGUUGAGCAUAUGUCUUGGUGUAUCUGACUAGGAAUCUCAGUACUAUUCUAAUAAAAGAAUAAAAUGUUGAGCAAUAUGUCAGUUUUACUAGCACUGGUGCAAUGAAAUCCAGUUGUUAUUUAUGUCGUAUUAAUAAGUGAAAAGAACUUGGUCUCCAUAGAUAUUGUAUUUUAUUUUAUUUUAUUUUUAUUCUAUAAAGUUCUAAAACUACAAACAAGAAUAUACAGGAACGUGGAUGAAAAACAGAUCGAAUGAAAACAGCGGCUCUCUCGAUCAGAAGAACAAGCUGUUGAAGCCAGAUCCAAUGGUGCUGAUGACAAAACUUUUGGAGAGGAAAACAUUCAAAGACACUGGAAAACAGUUCAAUGUGUUAGCAGCAAGUUGGAUUCAGUUUAUGAUACAUGAUUGGAUUGAUCAUUUGGAGGACACUCAACAGAUUGAACUCACUGCAUCUUCUGAAGUUGCAAGCCAAUCCCGUCUAAAAUCCUUUAAAUUCUUAAAAAUAAAGGAAAUUCUCAGAGGAUCCUAUGAUAUUAAGACUUGAUUAUGAAGGUUUUGUGCAUUUGGAAGAACUGAAUAGUUUCCUUACCAACACCAACAUCACUGUCUCCAGUCUCACUUAUGUCCCAGCCAACAUCUGCUACCACUAAAGCAUUGGUUGUUUUUGGAAAUGGGUACCCUUCCAGUUCAGCUUUGGACGGCGACUUUUUCUCUUCUGCCGCAUCCUAAAGUAAUUGAUGAAUUGUUGGAUACCAUUAUAUCAAAUAUUUUGUUUUGUUUUCAAUUAAAUAUUCUGUAAUAUUAUUUAUUUUUUUGUUAUUUCUUAUUCAUAAUUAUAAUUAUAUUUAGUAGGAAACAUUAAUGCCAUUAUAAUUAUAUCUUGCAAUUGGCUAAUUAUAGUUUGUUAGAUAUGGUAGUUAGUUAUUUGUUAGGAAUGUGUUAGUUGGAAUUUUAGGAUGUUUAGAAACUGUUACAAAGCUGUUAGUUAACAGUUGGGUUUGAAAAAACAGUUAGAGAUUAGUUAUUUAAAACAGUUUAGUUAAAACUAUUAGGAAUAGAAACUAUUAGGUUAGGCUGAAAUGUUAAAAACUAUUAGAGUUAGUAGGGUUAGUUAUGAAGUCAAGGCUGAAGUGAGGCAUUUGUGCGGUACCGGGAACGUGUAGAUUCACGUGUGUUUGAGUAGGUUCAUAUGGUAACAUAGCAUAUGCAUUGCAAUGCUCAUAGGAUAAUUAAAAAAUCCUAAUCAAAUUAAAAAAUAAUUUAAGUCUUAUUUAAUUUCAUUAAUUUAAAUGCAUUUAAAUUUAUAAUGAGAAUAAAGAAAAAUUAAACCGUCAUUAAUAUGAUAAGUCAUUCAAAUUUAGAAUGCAAUUAAAUGAAAAUUAAAUCACUUUUAAUAUGAUAGAAAUCAAUAAUUAUUACAUCAAUAUUAU